rfam:Asanoa hainanensis strain CGMCC 4.5593 genome assembly, contig: Ga0104436_108
CGAGUCGGCUGGGCGGCCGCGUCGGUGACCUUCGGGCCGCCGCCGAGGAACGUCCGGACUCCGCAGGGCAGGGUGGUUGUUAACGGCAACCCGGGGUGACCCGCGGGAAAGUGCCACAGAAAACAAACCGCCGGGCGUACGCGCCCGGUAAGGGUGAAACGGUGGGGUAAGAGCCCACCAGCGCGCCGGGUGACCGGAGCGGCUUGGUAAACCCCACCCGGAGCAAGGCCAAAAGGGCCGUCCCAUGGACGACCUGCGCAGGUGUUCGAGGGCUGCCCGCCCGAGCCUGCGGGUAGGCCGCUCGAGCCUGCCGGCAACGGCAGGCCUAGAUGGAUGGCCGCCACCGGCCGCCGAGAGGCGGCCGGAACAGAAUCCGGCGUACAGGCCGACUCGCCCG